ensembl:lncRNA
CUUUAAAAUAUAUAAUUAAAUACAUAGAAACUUCACCUGAGACACUCUGACAACAUCGCUGCAUUCAGCCAAAUGAGCAGCACUAAUAGCUUACUCCAACAGAGGGGCUGUUACAUAAAUGUGAACUUUUUGUAAAAGCUACAAAGGCCACAUAAAAGGUCGGCUUAUGAUGUCCUCUCUAGACAGAUCCCCCUCCCCCCAGGUAGUUGAAUGCUUGAAAACGGUGGUCUCACUUCAACACACAAAAAUGGCCAGUCUCUCAAGAACUGACAUUUCUGUGUUUUCGCUGCAGUAUAUGCUCUCUUUUAAUCUGACCAUAAUGAAAAUGUAUACAACUAAAAAACAAACAAAUUAAAAAACAACAACUCAUUAAGAAUGCUUUCUAUUGUAGCUUUGCAUUAGCAAAAGAAGAAGAAGAGGAAUAUUGAACUAUAACAAGGAUAUGUAUGUUAUAAUCUGCCACAUGUAUCGCUCAUGCUAAACUUGUAUUGGGUUGAAAUGGCUGUAAAACUGUGUAACACUUCCAUCUAGUGGGGUGCUGUGAUAGCACAAAAAUACAGAUCAACAAAACCAAAAAUUACAUUGAUGAAAAAAAAAAAGAAAAAACAUAUAAUUUAAUUAAUAGUCCAGGGUUUAUGUGAGACAAUGCUCAGAUAGGAGGGGUUAGUCUGUUUUUAAAGGACUACCACCUCAAGGCUUACAGCUCCACAGCCGAGAAAGCGGUGUUAGAUGCACCAAUGAACUUAUUGUCUGCUUCACUCCCCUCGUUAUGAAUUUAUGCUGAGCACACCAAGCAGGGUGAUUCCCCUCAGGCUAUAAUAUUAUACUGCAUGCUCUCAGAAAUACAGGAGAAUAAGUGAAAGUGCUCUUACUCUGCCACAUUUCACAGUAGUGUGCCGCCUGAAAUUAUGAACCAGAUUUUUAUAAACGUGAAAUUAUGUCCAUAAAAAUAAUCUGCAGUGUAUUUUUAUGCUAACUAUAUUUACUGCAGUACUAUUGUUCAGUUACAGAUUUGUGGUACAUGUACUGCAUUUAGGUCUGCUUCUUC